GCCUAGCUGGCUUAGUGGGUAUAGCAUGUGACUCUUGAUCUCAGGGUUGUGAGUUCAAACCCCAUAUUAGGCA
rnacentral:tRNA from 1 species